AAAGCGUGCCUUUCAGGCAUCCUCUCCUAAAACUUUCCAGGGCCGGUCCGAAAGGAUCGGCCUUUUUUCUUGCCGUU
rnacentral:sRNA from 1 species